rnacentral:rRNA from 1 species
UACGUAGGGGCGAGCGUUGUCCGGAAUGAUUGGGCGUAAAGGGCGCGUAGGCGGCCUGUCAAGUCAGUAGUGGAAGUCCAUCUUUCAAGAAUGGAAGUGCUACAGAAACUGAUGGGCUUGAGUGCAGGAGAGGUUAUCGGAAUUCCCGGUGUAGCGGUGAAAUGCGUAGAGAUCGGGAGUAACACCAGUGGCGAAGGCGGGUAACUGGACUGCAACUGACGCUGAGGCGCGAAAGUGUGGGGAGCAAACAGGAUUAGAUACCCG